rnacentral:lncRNA from 1 species
UGGUCUAGAUUGUUUAGACUGAUUCAAAGCGUUUGAAACUACUUUUGGCGGUUAUGUCACGGCUCCCGACCCUACCCUGGACGGAGCCGGGGGCCGUGGCGCAGAGUUCAAUGGUACCCGUGGUUAAGACAAGUUUUUUACCAGUUCAAGCCUGUUUGUUCCUGGUUUAAAGGAAUCAACUAGCAUUUCUUCUUGAAGAAGAAAGGAACCUACUUGCAACUCGUCU